rnacentral:snRNA from 1 species
CUCCCAAAGGCACGUGUC